AAAAAUUAGGACCCCAACUGUCAUAACCACCAACCCCGGCUGUGGAAUCGGGGAUCACAUUCCCUCCAGCAAAACCAGCUUCACCCGUAAAAUCCAUUUAAACAGCAGAUCUGACUACCCCAAAAUGUUCAAUUCCCAAAACUGAUAAAAAUAGAGUAAUAUGCAUACAAAAACAUAAAGCUCAAACCAUGAGCAAAAAGAUUACACACUGACGGCUAUACCUCAAAAGAAUGAGAAAGCAGGAACCUCAAACCAACACAAAAAUCCACACACACUUAUUGUCCAGAAAGGAAAAAGAAAUUAGAAACCUCCCUCUUGAAAAUAAGGAAUUCGAAGCUAAAAAUCCUACCUUUUUCA
rnacentral:misc_RNA from 1 species